rnacentral:lncRNA from 1 species
GUACAAAUCAUAAGGAAAAAAAAAGUUUGCUUUCGGUAUGUAAGAAAUGACAUGUUUCCAUUCUGUCUUUUUGUGAUUCGAACAGUAUUUAAUGAAUCAAUUUCUUGCUUUCUUGUUUAUUAUUUGGAGUGCCACUUGUAUUUGCUACCUUUUCUAAAUGAAUUAUGGCCAGUAAUGAAGUUGGAUAAACUUGAGUGCCACUUGUAUUUGCUACCUUUUCUAAAUGAAUUAUGGUCAGUAAUGAAGUUGGAUAAACUUCAGCAACAUCACAUCUGCCUUAUAUAUAUGAACUAUAUACUUUUAAUUAUUCAAGUUUUGGUCACUACUUCCAUCAUUUUUAUCCUUCCC